CCUACGGGGGGCAGCAGUGGGGAAUAUUGCACAAUGGGCGAAAGCCUGAUGCAGCAACGCCGCGUGAGCGAUGAAGGCCUUCGGGUCGUAAAGCUCUGUCCUCAAGGAAGAUAAUGACGGUACUUGAGGAGGAAGCCCCGGCUAACUACGUGCCAGCAGCCGCGGUAAUACGUAGGGGGCUAGCGUUAUCCGGAAUUACUGGGCGUAAAGGGUGCGUAGGUGGUUUUUUAAGUCAGAAGUGAAAGGCUACGGCUCAACCGUAGUAAGCUUUUGAAACUAGAGAACUUGAGUGCAGGAGAGGAGAGUAGAAUUCCUAGUGUAGCGGUGAAAUGCGUAGAUAUUAGGAGGAAUACCAGUAGCGAAGGCGGCUCUCUGGACUGUAACUGACACUGAGGCACGAAAGCGUGGGGAGCAAACAGGAUUAGAUAC
rnacentral:rRNA from 1 species